rnacentral:rRNA from 1 species
AUUGAACGCUGGCGGCAUGCCUUACACAUGCAAGUCGAACGGCAGCACGGACUUCGGUCUGGUUGCGAGUGGCGAACGGGUGAGUAAUGUAUCGGAACGUACCUUUCAUUGCCGGAUAACGUAGCGAAAGUGACGCUAAUACCGCAAACUCUGUGAUCAGGAAAGCCGGGGAUCGAAAGACCUUGCGCUUAUUGAGUAGCCGAUAUCCGAUUAGCUAGGUGGUGGGGUAAAGGCCUACCAAGGCGACGAUCUGAAGCGCGUCUGAGAGGAUGAUCCGACACACUGGAACUGAGACGCAGUCCAGACACCGACGGGAGGAAGCAGUGGAGAAUCUUGGACAAUGGGGGAGAGCCUGAUACAGCAAAGCCGCGUAAGUGAAGAAGGACUACGGGUUGUAAAGCUCUUAAGGCCGGGAAGAAAUAGAAUAGGCUAAUACGCUGUGUGAAUGACGGUACCGGGAUAAGAAGCACCGGCUAACUACGUG